UACGUAGGGGGCAAGCGUUGUCCGGAGUUACUGGGCGUAAAGCGCACGCAGGCGGAAGGUUGCGUUCGGAGCGACAGUUUCCAGCUUCACUGGAAAAGGCUUCCGAAAACGGGCUUUCUUGAGGGCUUCAGAGGGACAGGGAAUUCCGGGUGGAGUGGUGAAAUGCGUAGAGAUCCGGAGGAACACCAAAGGCGAAGGCACUGUCCUGGGAAGUCACUGACGCUCGGGUGCGAAAGCCAGGGGAGCGAACGGG
rnacentral:rRNA from 1 species